ensembl:antisense 9530026P05Rik RIKEN cDNA 9530026P05 gene
AUCUAAGAUCCAGAACUUGGGGGUCCCUAACUUUAAAUCGUGGGGUGCGCUGAUUGUUUGGGAUCCGCCUCAAGACUUCAGCCUAGGUCUACCUAGGAGAUACCUCUCAAAGACUGGAGCCAUUCUCGUGUCCAGGCCCAGGUUUGAGGCCGUGAUGACUCAACGCAGCAUCCCCUCCCCUUGCUAAACCACGGUCUCCGCCUACCCCCAAUCAAUCUCAAGGAAGCACUCGGGGCACCAGGAUUCCCAGCACUUAGCUGGUGGGCAAAGGGGCUCAUCCCCCUCCCCACAUCCCACCUUCCCUCCUCCCAGUCUUCAGGAGUGCGGAGCUCCUGCCGGGAUCCAAGAGCAGGCUCUUGGUAGUCGAAGAAGGAUAUAACCUCCAGACCUGGAAUUUUAAGACGCAAGAACCAGCCAGCAAAUGUGGCAGCCGAGCAUGCGAGGGACCGUGAUGGCUGCUGAAAAAGGAACUGGCUUUUUAUUUGGAAGCUAUGAAACUUGAGGUUCUACUGAAAAGGAGAAGAGGCCGCUGGAGAUUAGGAAGCCAUGAAAAAAUGAAGAUGCAGAAGUCUCAGCUCCUUCAGUGCUAUUGUCUGCCAGGAUGCUGCCAUGCUCCCUUCUUGAUGAUAAUGGACUGAACCUCUGACUCUUCUUCAUUUAAACUGGCUCAUCCAGAGGUGGGACGGAGUCAAUAAUGCACCAGGAACCUGUUUGGAAGUACUAAGUGGUGGUUGCAUGAAAAGGGAAGGAGAGAAUCAACCACUAACACGUACAUGGACAAAGCCCCACCAGCUUUAAGAAUCAGGAAGGAUGAGAAGCUACAGCUUUACUUCUGAAAAUUCACAAAGGAGUCCAUGUUCCAAGAUGAGAGAAAUACCAGAAGCCGAUGGUUAUUCUAUUUGACUGAAUGAAAAGAAAAGGAAGUCGCUUCCUGUCAAUCCUGCUUUGGAUUCCUGGACAGUUUAAGAAGCACCAUUGAUCUGAUCAUUGACACUGAGAAGGAAAUGUCCAUCCACUGAAGACACGUGGGGCUCCUCCCAGUUUGACAUGGGCACAUUCUGUUGCCCACUUUCUACCUUGACGUCAUUUGGAGUAACAGCAGCCAUGUUGUGAUAAUGGAGACAAUGAGUGGAUGGGAAAUUAUCUACUAACAAACACAGUACACAUAAAGGGGCUCUGGAGACCAGGGAGCACCCAAGCCAAUCCUGGAAACGACCUGAUUGUGCACAGUUUCUGUAUCUGGCGGGGUGGGCAGAAGACAGCAGUCCCAGGUACCCAGUACCCAGUUCACAGUGGGUACCUGGCACAGGCAGACAGCAAGCAAUGGGCCAGCAGAAGGAACUGCUUGGUCAGCACAGGUGCUUUCACCAGAUAAAGUGGGGUCACCUUUUAACUCCUCGGGUGGAAUUACCCAACUGGCAGCAAAUUGCUUCUGUGAAAUCUUCUUGCUGUUUGGGAUGUAUCCUUCUAUAGCACAGAAACGGAAACUUCAGCCAGAAGAGUGGAAUUCAGGGACUCCAUGCCAACAGAAACAGAGCUCUGCAUUUGUUUCCUGAGCCUCCUUGCACAUGGAAGGUUUCUUUCCUCACAAGAAACAUGUGUUAAAGGAUACUAAAGUGGCUUUCAGUUUGGGGUUAGAACCUGAAACAGAAAGACAACGGAGACAAACUUCAGCUCAGCUUUCCUAGAUUGGAAAUGAUGCGUGAAUUUUGCUGUUUCUCCCAGAUUUCAGAACAGGUAUGACAUGGUGCUUAAUUUAAUCAUCCAGUGAAUCACCUUUUCUCUGUGGGAUAUUAACACUGAUGUAAGAUGUCUCCAUGUGAGGAACGGGAAAGACUUGAGACACAGAAAAGCUUCCAAGAUUGGUAAAUAGAAUAAUGUGGUCUGUACCCCACUAAUUUUUCUUGCCAUCCCUGAGAGGUCCUGUGGGCUGUAGCGAUGCAUCAUUUAGAUAGCCCCUUCAGCUGGUUCAUGGAAAACUAACAAAAAUUGAUGUUGU